GUACUUACUUCGAGAGUACUUAUACUAAAAUUGAAACGCUGUACAGACAAUUAUCGUGAUUUCUGCGUAAGAAAGAUACCCAUAUUCGUGAAGCUUUCCAUAUUUUC